rnacentral:lncRNA from 1 species
AUGUCAAGAGCUUUGUAAUGUUUUGAACAACCAAUAAAAAAAAACAGCAUACUAAAAAAAAAAAAGAGGAAAAAAGGAACUAAGAAUACACAAAUAGCAUGGGAGAUUAGAACCUAGUCUAAUUAUUACAUGUAAAGGGUCUAAGCAUAGCAGUAAACAGACAAAGUUACCAGCUGGAUGUAAAGCAAGACCUGACUAUAUACUGCCUAUAAGUGCAUCUUAAAUAUGAAGACACAGGGCAGGGAGUUAGCAACGAUGGUGGAAUGUGAUGGGCAUCAUUAUCCAAAGUGCAUGUAUGAAGACACAAAUUGGUGUGAACAUACUGUAAUACAACUAGAGGUAUGAAAAAUUGUGCUCUAUAUGUAUGUGUAAUGUGAAUUAUAAUGCAUUCUGCUGUCAUUUAUUUAAAAAAAUCAAUUAAAAAAUAUGAAGACACAAAUAGAUUAAAAGAAUGGAAGAGCAUACUGAUACUAAUGAAAAGAAAAAUGAAUUGAUUAUAUUCAUUAGUCAAAUUAGAUGUGCAGCAACGAGUAUUACUAGGGAGAGAGCCAUUUCAUAAUGAUAAAGGGAUUGAUUUGUUAAGAGAGCAUACAUUGAUGCAACAAAAAUCAAUAAAACUGUAGGAAGAAAUAGACAAAUCUACAAUUACAGUCAGAAAUUUCAAUAAUAGAGCAAGUACUCAAAAAAACAGUAGGGAUAUAGAAGAUCGAAACAACAUCAUCGCCUGGCCUCACCAAUUGACAUGUAUAGAACUUUACACCUAACAACAGAAUACAUUUUUUUUAUGUGUAUACGCGACAUUUAACAAAAGAGAGCAUAUUCUAGGCAAUAAAAUAUGUCUUAUUAAAUGUAAAAGAUUUCAGGUCAGAUAAACUAUGUUCUCU